CGCGGCUGAUACAUAACCCGGAACUAUGGUCGACAGAACACCAAGAGGAAGCCAGCGACGUGCAUCCAUUGAAGCGACGAGUAGACUCCGAUGGAGGAAAUGCUGCAGAAGAGGAACCUAGGAAAGGCAACCAAGAAGAUGAAGAAGAGGAUCCGGUUAAGGAACGAGGAGGUGGGUGCAAUAGAAGUGAGUUAAGCGGUUUGAAACGACUUGUGACAUUAGUUUUUGAUGACUUCAAGAGGCACGAAGAACGCAAAGUAACAUACUACUAGACAAUUUAAAUUUGCUAGUAACUAUUUUCUGUUAAAGUUUUGUGAAAUGCCUAAUCACGGUUUAGAA